GACGAACGCUGGCGGCGUGCUUAACACAUGCAAGUCGAACGGAAAGGCCCUGCUUGCCGGGUGCUCGAGUGGCGAACGGGUGAGUAACACGUGGGUGAUCUGCCCCUUACUUUGGGAUAAGCCUGGGAAACUGGGUCUAAUACUGGAUAGGACCAUGCUGUAGGUGGUGUGGUGGAAAGAUUAGUUUCGGUAAGGGAUGAGCUCGCGGCCUAUCAGCUUGUUGGUGGGGUAAUGGCCUACCAAGGCGUCGACGGGUAGCCGGCCUGAGAGGGUGGACGGCCACAUUGGGACUGAGAUACGGCCCAGACUCCUACGGGAGGCAGCAGUGGGGAAUAUUGCACAAUGGGCGCAAGCCUGAUGCAGCGACGCCGCGUGGGGGAUGACGGCCUUCUGGUUGUAAACUCCUUUCAGCCAUGACGAAGCCCUUGUGGUGACGGUAGUGGUAGAAGCACCGGCUAACUACGUG
rnacentral:rRNA from 1 species